rnacentral:lncRNA from 1 species
UUUCUUCCUUUUCUUCCUUCCUUCCGACUUCUGAUUCUUUGUGCUCCCACAUCACCUUAGCUCUGAUAGAAGUGGGCUCCUGGCUCUGGAGCACCAGCUUCCCUUCCAAAAGUCAGACUUAACCCAACACAGAGUUCUUGUCACCAUGAAUUAUCACACUUUAUUUUUUCCCCUGAGAAAAAAAUCUCUCCGUGUAGCCCGAGCUGUCCUGGAACUCACUCUGUAGUCCAGGCUGACCUUGAACUCAGAGAUCUGCCUGCCUCUGCCACCCCACCGAUUUGUCAAAAGUCACCACUGCCCAUAUUACGGGAUUAUGAAACGGAAUGGGGAUGCUGAGCAUCUGUGGGUGAACGGAGCCCUGAAACUGGCUUCUGUCUGUCUUUGUGGACUUCAACACCAGAGCCCAGUGCUGUCCUGUGUCCUCCACCUCCUGGUCCUGCUCCUGCCCCAGACAGACCCCAAAGUCCUAUUUCAUUUUCUGAAUCAAAUCAGAAAGGAUUUUAUUAUGAAGAAUUCUAUAGCAUUAUUGCCUGGCAGUGUCGAUAGUGAGACAUUUUCACAACCAACACAUGGGCUUUACAUGCUUGAUCAUAAAGAAAAAAGCUUUAAUCUGAUUUUUGC